rnacentral:lncRNA from 10 species
UGCAAAUGCCUGAAAGAGUCAAGCCAACACUGUGUGGAACAGAGAAGAACCAUUCCAGCUAAGCCCAGCCCUAGUUUGCUAGCCCACUGAAGAGUAGAUACUCCUGACCAUCACAGAGAUGCUUACAGCAUCCACAAAUUGCAAUUGUGAACUCCUGCUGAGAAUGACCAGGUCUGGGUUCAACGUCUUUGCCUCCUUUUCUACACAUUGCAUAAGGUUCCCCUCCAACACAUCUCCCAUUAGCAUGGAUUGCAAAAGCUUCAGGCAGCAGUGAGUCAACCAUAGCUGCACCUGGGGAACAGAGAAAAAAAAAUACCACUGCCCUGACCCCAUUCCAAAAGGACUGAAUCAGACUCUCUAAUCAGGGGCUUGGCUAAUAACCAUAGUUAAGGGAAAUAAAGUAAUUCUGG